GUAUUCUUCGUGCGAAAAUGUCACGAGUUUUUGAAGAGUAUGCUGUCACAUGGGAAGAAUCUAGUUGCUUCCCGUUUUCUCGAUAUUACACGUGUUUGUUAACUUCUUCCUAUUUUCUUGACAGUUUCUUCGAUAGCUCUCUCGCAGUUGAAGAAAACAUGGUCGGUGAUUCUCAAACGAAUUUUGGGACUGAAAGUCAAGCCGGAGUAUACGUCAAAGAAAAUUCUACCACCGGAGGGAAUUGCAAGGACCAUGGGCCAUAAUCGUAACUGUUGUACCAAUAUAGGCGAAGUCAAAGCUCUCAUGAUGAACUGAGAAAAAAGACAAAAAUCAGUUCAAAUUUUGAAGGUCAGCUUGAUAAUUUAUGGUUGUAAGCAGUAUCUAUUGCUGUUUAUAGUGAUGAUGGGUGUAAAUCCAUGCAACUUGAAUAACUGUAACUGAAAUUAUCUAGUUGCAUUUCUGCUUAUUAUCAAUAUUCCAGUAUAAUGAGAUCUUGUAUUAGCAUGGGAAU